GCUGGCGGCGUGCCUAACACAUGCAAGUCGAGCGAGAAGCUUAUGAUUGAAUCUUCGGAUGAUUGAAUAAGUGGAAAGCGGCGGACGGGUGAGUAACGCGUGGGUAACCUGCCCCAUACAAAGGGAUAGCCACCGGAAACGGUGAUUAAUACCAUAUGAGAUCGUAGAGUCGCAUGACUUAGCGGUUAAAGAUUUAUCGGUAUGGGAUGGACCCGCGUCUGAUUAGCUAGUUGGUAAGGUAACGGCUUACCAAGGCGACGAUCAGUAGCCGACCUGAGAGGGUGAUCGGCCACACUGGAACUGAGACACGGUCCAGACUCCUACGGGAGGCAGCAGUGGGGAAUAUUGCACAAUGGGCGCAAGCCUGAUGCAGCAACGCCGCGUGAGCGAUGAAGGCCUUCGGGUCGUAAAGCUCUGUCCUCAAGGAAGAAUAAAUGACGGUACUUGAGGAGGAAGCCCCGGCUAACUACGUGCCAGCAGCCGCGGUAAUACGUAGGGGGCAAGCGUUAUCCGGAAUCACUGGGCGUAAAGGGUGCGUAGGCGGUUUUUCAAGUCAGAAGUGAAAGGCUAUGGCUCAACCAUAGUAAGCUUU
rnacentral:rRNA from 1 species